UACGUAGGGUGCAAGCGUUAAUCGGAAUUACUGGGCGUAAAGCGUGCGCAGGCGGUUAUGUAAGACAGUUGUGAAAUCCCCCGGGCUCAACCUGGGAACUGCAUCUGUGACUGCAUAGCUAGAGUACGGUAGAGGGUAGUGGAAUUCCCGGUGUAGCGGUGAAAUGCGUGGAGAUCGGGGAGGAACAUCUGUGGCGAAGGCGACUACCUGGACCAGCACUGACACUGAGGCACGAAAGCGUGGGGAGCAAAAGGG
rnacentral:rRNA from 1 species